rnacentral:rRNA from 1 species
UACGGAGGGUGCGAGCGUUAAUCGGAAUUACUGGGCGUAAAGCGUGCGCAGGCGGUUUGUUAAGCGAGAUGUGAAAGCCCCGGGCUCAACCUGGGAACCGCUUUUCGAACUGGCAAGCUAGAGUCUUGUAGAGGGGGGUAGAAUUCCAGGUGUAGCGGUGAAAUGCGUAGAGAUCUGGAGGAAUACCGGUGGCGAAGGCGGCCCCCUGGACAAAGACUGACGCUCAGGCACGAAAGCGUGGGGAGCAAACAGG